rnacentral:rRNA from 1 species
UACGGGGGGGAGCAAGCGUUGUUCGGAUUUACUGGGCGUAAAGGGCGCGUAGGCGGCGCAACAAGUCACUUGUGAAAGCUCCCGGCUUAACUGGGAGAGGCCAAUGGAUACUGCCAAGCUUGAGUAUAGGAGAGGUUACUGGAAUUCCCGGUGUAGCGGUGAAAUGCGCAGAUAUCGGGAGGAACACCAAUGGCGAAAGCAGGUAACUGGACUAUUACUGACACUCAACUGCGAAAGCUAGGGGAGCAAAACAGG